UUCGAGUGGCGGACGGGUGAGUAACGCGUGGGUAACCUGCCUUACACAGGGGGAUAACACCUGGAAACAGGUGCUAAUACCGCAUAAGCGCACAGGGCCGCAUGGCCCGGUGUGAAAAACUCCGGUGGUGUAAGAUGGACCCGCGUCUGAUUAGCUAGUUGGUGGGGUAACGGCCUACCAAGGCGACGAUCAGUAGCCGGCCUGAGAGGGUGACCGGCCACAUUGGGACUGAGACACGGCCCAAACUCCUACGGAAGGCAGCAG
rnacentral:rRNA from 1 species